UCUUCUCAGGCCCCGUGUCUGUACCUUUGCCCUUUUCCUUCUUGUGGUUCCAAAGAAGACUCGUCGUACUCAAUACUCAUACCAAACCAUAUUAGUACCAUAGAUUCUCCAACUGGAUCCAACCCACCAUUCUUCUCUAAUAUUAAUAACCCACCAAACCAAGCACAAACCAUCUUCUUCAAGCAAAACCUCCUUUGCUUUGAUCAGAUUAGAUAUGUCUUCAAGCUAUCAAGCUUCGAGAAACUCUAGGUCCUCUUGGUCUCCAAGGGAAAACAAACUGUUUGAGAAGGCUCUAGCCUUGUAUGAUAAAGAAACACCAGACCGCUGGCAAAAUAUAGCCAAAGCUGUUGGUGGGAAAUCAGCAGAAGAGGUCAAGAGACACUAUGAAGUCCUCAUUGAAGAUGUUAAGCACAUCGAGUCUGGUCGUGUUCCCUUUCCUGAUUACAAGUCCGCUGGAAGCCGCGGCAAUGCUAAUUAAAACACAGAAGCCAGAGGAUUCAUUUUUGUGACUGCAACAAAUUGUCGGGCUGUGAUCAUCGAGCAUAGAGGAUACACCAAAGAUGGAAACGCUAAAUAGUCGACAGCAAAAACAGCCAUCAACUGCUGUCACUUCAUGUUGAAAGAAGAAGAAUGAGGAGGCCAGUUUUAUGGAGGAUUUGAAGGAUCACAUUGAUGAGUUCAUUCAUGCAGAUAUGUAUGAGCACAAGAGGUGCUUUAAGAAGACCAUCCAAAAGAUGUUUGGAAUGUCAAAAAUUGUUGCAGAGAGGAUUGCUGAUGCUAAAGAAGUCGAAAGUUCUCUGCCCCUACGAACUGUAGUGUCAGACUAGAAAUCUUCCUCCCCCUUAUUUUUGGUCGUCUUGACAUCUAGUUUAAACAGUAUGAUAUUGUUUUCUGCUUCAUUUUCAGCAUGGGUGGAGAGCAUGCUAUUCAAAUGAGAGAGCAAAAAAUUCAUGAGCAGUUUAGAACUUAUGGCUAUGGAGAGGACACAUGAAUGCCAGUAACUCAUAUUCAUGUCCACUAUUGUAAUGUGCUACUUUAAGAUCAUAAACAUUAGACAACAUGAAGAGAAGAAUACCAGUUUGUAUUUGGGAAUUGGGGGAACCUUCCCUAAUGCAUCACCUACUGACUACCAAUUGAAUUUGAAGGUGAAAAUCAUGUUUACUAUGAAUUAGCAAAGUCUCCUUUGCGUUUAA